rnacentral:rRNA from 1 species
GAGUAAUGUCUGGGAAACUGCCCGAUGGAGGGGGAUAACUACUGGAAACGGUAGCUAAUACCGCAUAAUGUCGCAAGACCAAAGAGGGGGACCUUCGGGCCUCUUGCCAUCGGAUGUGCCCAGAUGGGAUUAGCUUGUAGGUGGGGUAACGGCUCACCUAGGCGACGAUCCCUAGCUGGUCUGAGAGGAUGACCAGCCACACUGGAACUGAGACACGGUCCAGACUCCUACGGGAGGCAGCAGUGGGGAAUAUUGCACAAUGGGCGCAAGCCUGAUGCAGCCAUGCCGCGUGUAUGAAGAAGGCCUUCGGGUUGUAAAGUACUUUCAGCGAGGAGGAAGG